GACGAACGCUGGCGGCGUGCUUAACACAUGCAAGUCGAACGGGCCCGCCCCUGUUUUUGGGGGUGGGUUGAGUGGCGAACGGGUGAGUAUCACGUGAGUAACCUGCCCCCUGCUCCUGGAUAACUGCUUGAAAGGGCGGCUAAUACGGGGUGUGCCGGCUGGUCCGCAUGGGCCUGGUCGGGAUAGUUUCAUCUUCGGGUGUUUCGGUGGGGGAUGGGCUCGCGGCCUAUCAGCUUGUUGGUGGGGUGAUGGCCCACCAAGGCGGUGACGGGUAGCCGGCCUGAGAGGGUGGGCGGCCACACUGGGACUGAGACACGGCCCAGACUCCUGCGGGAGGCAGCAGUGGGGGGUAUUGCACAAUGGGCGGAAGCCUGAUGCAGCGACGUCGCGUGAGGGAUGGAGGCCUUCGGGUGGUGAACCUCUUUCUCCGGUGGUGAAGGCCCUGUCCGUUGCGGCGGGGUUGACGGUAGCCGGGGAUGAAGCGCCGGCUAACUACGUG
rnacentral:rRNA from 1 species